rnacentral:lncRNA from 1 species
GUUUUCUCAUAGAAGUAGAAUCAAGUUUGUAAACAUGAACCAAACCAAAACUGAUUCACAUUUCAAAGGAACGGCACAUACCUCUCCGAGGCCUUUCUUCAUUUCCGGUUGAAUUUUGCUAUCCAGCCACAAGGCAGGCCCUUUGAGAGGAGCCCACAAACCCCACACCAAAGCAAAUGGCUUUUUUCCCAGGAGGAAGGGGAAUCCCUCAUGCUGAGAGUGAAAAGCAUACUAGAUUCCUAUGGAAACGAUGGGAGACACUAAUCAAGGCAUUCCUUUUCUUCUUGAAGCUGACUCCUAAGAGGUCCAUGUCAGCCAGUAAGAGCUCUUCGAAAUCACCUUUUGGAGCAAGCACUACAUAAGGUACAGAG